UGAAGAUUCUCAGGAAUAGUAGUUGCUGUUGCAUUAACAUGAUAGUGGACAAACAAUUCACGAAUUUGACAUCACCAUUCACCACAGCUAAGGUAACAGCUCGAUAACCUGAUUUUCCGUGAAUGAAAGAAAGAAAGGACUUGUUCGUUGCUACGUGUCUUGUGAGAUCAUACAUAAAGCCGGUCCAGUUGCUUAUUGGCUUGUGGCAGGAGAUUUCAUACAGGGAAGGUAGAGAAUUGACCAAACACGAGAACAAGUCAGGAAUCAUGCAGGACAGCGGAAGGUCACCACCAUCAGAGCAGUAAUCAGGCACACGGACGGCAGGCCAGCGUUUUCCUUUGCCCAACCGAGCGCACGCCUGGCCAGUGGCAGUUCACAACCUGCGAAUGCCUCCUGAAAGCUGCAACUGGGACGUCCUGACAAAAUGAAAAAAAUGAAGUGUCAAGGGCAUGAACCGUAUAACAGGAAAACCCGGGUACCCCUAAUAGUGAAUACUGCAGAUGUUACGGCAUUUUGCUGAUGUCAAAUAGCUCUGGAAACUCAUACUUCAAUGAUCAUAGAGUUACCCAAACAUAAUACCAGAAUUCGAUGUGUUCGCCACUUACUAUAUAUGCACUUCAAAAAUCCACGGCAGAGGUGGAGACUCUGUAAACUGUGCUUCUGUUAGUCACUGGUCAGUACCACGCUCUACAACUAGGGAUAUCUAGGACUCCCAUGACACUUGCAUCUUCUUUUCUCAUGAAAAUUUUCGACCGUACAUCAUCACCGUCCUUGCUCCAGUUAAUCAAGCAAAAUGCGUUACCUUGCAAAAUAGCAAAGAAGAAAAACAAUGUCAGUCAAUUGAGGCCCUAGAUCUUGUCAGGUCAUCAACAUUCAAACUUCUAUGGUCAGAGAUACAAUCUUUGCUUGAACUGGAUAGGAAUUUUCUGCUGGCAUAACACUGCAUCCCUGAGGUGACGUGACGUUCGAGUAAUGAUAUUGCAAAUGGUGAGAGCUUGACUGACUGGCAAGGAAUUUGACAUUCAACUAACUAUGGGUAUUACAGGAUGGUAAAAAAAACAGGUAGAUCAGCAGGUCAAAUGGCAACCUGUCCAUCAACAAGGAUAGAAGGAUGGGUUUGUGCCUUUUGAUGAAUGAAACUGCAGCUCAUACUGUCCUACAUGGGUUACUAAGUGCGAGGCCCCACUCUAGGCAUGCAGUACAGUGCAAAUUAAGGGAGUUGCAUA
rnacentral:lncRNA from 1 species